GUAGGGAAUAUUGGGCAAUGGGCGAAAGCCUGACCCAGCGACGCCGCGUGAGGGAUGAAGGUCUUCGGAUUGUAAACCUCUUUCAGUAGGGAAGAAGCGAAAGUGACGGUACCUAAAGAAGAAGCACCGGCUAACUAUGUGCCAGCAGCCGCGGUAAUACAUAGGGUGCAAGCGUUGUCCGGAAUUAUUGGGCGUAAAGAGCUCGUAGGUCGUUUGUCGCGUCGAUUGUGAAAAUCUGAGGCUCAACCUCAGACCUGCAGUCGAUACGGGCAAACUAGAGUGUGGUAGGGGAGACUGGAAUUCCUGGUGUAGCGGUGGAAUGCGCAGAUAUCAGGAGGAACACCAAUGGCGAAGGCAGGUCUCUGGGCCAUAACUGACACUGAGGAGCGAAAGUGCGGGGAGCGAACAGGAUUAGAAACCCCGGUAGUCC
rnacentral:rRNA from 1 species